rnacentral:rRNA from 1 species
AGUCGAACGGCAGCACAGAGGAGCUUGCUCCUUGGGUGGCGAGUGGCGGACGGGUGAGGAAUACGUCGGAAUCUGCCUAUUUGUGGGGGAUAACGUAGGGAAACUUACGCUAAUACCGCAUACGACCUACGGGUGAAAGUGGGGGACCGCAAGGCCUCACGCAGAUAGAUGAGCCGACGUCGGAUUAGCUAGUUGGCGGGGUAAAGGCCCACCAAGGCGACGAUCCGUAGCUGGUCUGAGAGGAUGAUCAGCCACACUGGAACUGAGACACGGUCCAGACUCCUACGGGAGGCAGCAGUGGGGAAUAUUGGACAAUGGGCGCAAGCCUGAUCCAGCCAUGCCGCGUGUGUGAAGAAGGCCUUCGGGUUGUAAAGCACUUUUGUCCGGAAAGAAAAGCUUAGGGUUAAUAACCUUGAGUCAUGACGGUACCGGAAGAAUAAGCACCGGCUAACUUCGUGCCAGCAGCCGCGGUAAUACGAAGGGUGCAAGCGUUACUCGGAAUUACUGGGCGUAAAGCGUGCGUAGGUGGUUUGUUAAGUCUGAUGUGAAAGCCCUGGGCUCAACCUGGGAAUGGCAUUGGAAACUGGCUUACUAGAGUGCGGUAGAGGGUAGCGGAAUUCCCGGUGUAGCAGUGAAAUGCGUAGAUAUCGGGAGGAACAUCCGUGGCGAAGGCGGCUACCUGGACCAGCACUGACACUGAG